GGAGAGAUGGCAGAGUGGUCGAUUGCGAUAGUCUUGAAAACUAUUGACUGUAACAGGUCCGGGGGUUCGAAUCAACUAUCGUCU
rnacentral:tRNA from 1 species